UACGGGGGGGGCAAGCGUUGUUCGGAAUUACUGGGCGUAAAGGGCUCGUAGGCGGCCAACUAAGUCAGACGUGAAAUCCCUCGGCUUAACCGGGGAACUGCAUCUGAUACUGGAUGGCUUGAGUUCGGGAGAGGGAUGUGGAAUUCCAGGUGUAGCGGUGAAAUGCGUAGAUAUCCGGAGGAACACCGGUGGCGAAGGCGGCUUCCUGGACCGACACUGACGCUGAGGCGCGAAAGCCAGGGGAGCAAACGGG
rnacentral:rRNA from 1 species